AGGACGAACGCUGGCGGCGUGCCUAACACAUGCAAGUCGAACGUCCUGUCUCGCAAGAGGCAGGGAGUGGCGGACGGGUGAGUACCACGUGGGUUAUCUACCGUGAGGUGAGGAAUACCGGCGAGAAAUCGCCGACAAGACCGCAUAGCCUCGGUGCAAGCCGAGGAAAGCUUUCUCGAGAGAGGGAGCGCCACACGAGGAGCCUGCGCCCGAUUAGCUAGCUGGUGGAGUAACGGUUCACCAGGGCGACGAUCGGUAGCUGGUCUGAGAGGACGAUCAGCCACACUGGGAUUGAGAACGGCCCAGACUCCUACGGGGGGCAGCAGUGAGGAAUUUUCGUCAAUGGGGGCAACCCUGAACGAGCAACGCCGCGUGCAGGAAGAAGGUUUUCGGAUCGUAAACUGCUUUUCGUCGGGGAAGAGAACGGACGGUACCCGAGGAAUCAGCCCCGGCUAACUACGUGCCAGCAGCCGC
rnacentral:rRNA from 1 species